AACAAGGCGUACCUGCGGACCUGCGGAGGGAUCAUUACACAAUAAACAUAUGAAGGCUGCACCGCCAACAGGCGGCAAGGCUGGAGUAUUUUAUUACCCUUGUCUUUUGCGCACUUGUUGUUUCCUGGGCGGGUUCGCCCGCCUCCAGGACCACAUGAUAAACCUUUUUUAUGCAGUUGCAAUCAGCGUCAGUACAACAAAUGUAAAUCAUUUACAACUUUUAGCAACGGAUCUCAGAUC
rnacentral:misc_RNA from 1 species